CUCUGCUGUCUGAUGUAUCCUAGAUACUGUAGUACUCGGCUAUCUGAUGUAUCCUAGAUACUGUAGUACUCGGCUGUCUGAUGUAUCCUAGGUACUGUAGUACUCGGCUAUCUGAUGUAUCCUAGGUACUGUAGUACUCGGCUGUCUGAUGUAUCCUAGGUACUGUAGUACUCGGCUGUCUAAUGUAUCCUAGAUACUGUAGUACUCGGCUGUCUGAUGUAUCCUAGGUACUGUAGUACUCGGCUGUCUGAUGUAUCCUAGAUACUGUAGUACUCGGCUGUCUGAUGUGUCCUAGGUACUGUAGUACUCGGCUGUCUGAUGUAUCCUAGGUACUGUAGUACUCGGCUGUCUGAUGUAUCCUAGAUACUGUAGUACUCGGCUAUCUGAUGUAUCCUAGAUACUGUACUCGGAUGUCUUCUUCAUGUGUGUGCUGCCCUGCUCUCUCUCUCUCCGCAGGUGGACUUUGCCAACCGGUUUGUGGGCGGAGGGGUCACCGGAUCGGGUCUGGUUCAGGAAGAGAUUCGCUUCCUGAUUAACCCUGAACUCAUCGUCUCUCGCCUCUUCACUGAAGCCCUGCUGCAGAAUGAGUGUCUCAUCGUCACAGGUACUGAGCAGUACAGUACCUACACUGGCUAUGCAGACAGCUACCUAUGGGACGGCAAACAUCAGGACAAGACCCCAAGAGACACCUGGCAGAGGAGGUGCACAGAGAUCGUAGCGAUGGACGCCCUGAAGUUCAGGAACUUCCUCGAACAGUUUCACCCUGAGAAAAUGAACAGAGAACUGAAUAAGGCAUACUGUGGCUUUUCCCGCCCAGGGGAGAGGAGUCAGGAUCUCUCUGCGGUUGCUACAGGAAACUGGGGCUGUGGUGUGUUCGGUGGAGACGCUAGGUUUAAAGCUCUGCUCCAGAUUCUGGCAGCCUCUGAGGCAGGCCGAGACGUGGCCUAUUUCACCUUUGGUGACAGCGCCCUGAUGAAAGACGUCUACGACAUGCACUACUUUCUCACACAGAGACAUGUCAGCGUCGGGGCUCUGUACAGUUUGCUGGGUCAGUACUACAGCUCAAUGUGUCAGAGCUGCUUCACCCGCCGUCCUGACAUCAGCCUCUACUCCUUCAUCUACCAGGAGGCCAGCUCUGUCUCCCCCUAGACCAGAAACACACACGCAGGUCGGCUCCCCUAGAAGAUCGGAGACGCCACGUCACACAGGUCGGCUCCGCCUAGAAGACCGUAGAUGCCCCCCCCCCGGACACAAAACAAGCGCUGUGCCCCGCGAGAGAUUCCAGUGGAAGUUUGUCUUGUCAUUCUGCUACUGGUAGCUGAUACGCACAUGGAUAGAGAUUCGAUGUGUUGAGAUUUGUGAUUUGGAAUGGUAAAGCCAAAGGCUGUCAUCCAUCUUGUGAGUGUGUCAUGUUUCCUUGGUUUUACCCCCCAACAUAAAUCCAGACUAAAUGAAUCAGUUGUCAGAAAUUCAGUUGAUGGAAAGAAUGAAUAGAGCCGUUCUUAGAGGGUAUUUAAAAAAUUUUUUAAAAAACGUUUUAAUUUGAUCAUAGGGAAAUGAUCUUUAGUCUUUAGGCUGGUUACUCUGUUCUCCACUGGAGAGAAGCUGACUCUGUGUGGGGAUGAUCACUUAAAGUGUGUGCUGUGAUCAUUUAUUUUAUUUUUCAAAUAUUUCAGAUUACCAUGGCCCUGGCCAUGGUCCUCUAAGUGGAUAUAUUACCAUGGGCCUAGCCAUGGUCCUCUAAGUGGAUAUAUUACCAUGGGCCUAGCCAUGGUCCUCUAAGUGGAUAUAUUACCAUGGGCCUAGCCAUGGUCCUCUAAGUGGAUAUAUUACCAUGGGCCUAGCCAUGGUCCUCUAAGUGGAUAUAUUACCAUGGCCCUAGCCAUGGUCCUCUAAGUGGAUAUAUUACCAUGGCCCUAGCCAUGGGCCUCCAUUCAGUGGAUAUAUUACCAUGGCCUCCAUUCAGUGGAUAUAUUACCAUGGCCUCCAUUCAGUGGAUAUAUUAUCAUGGCCCUAGCCAUGGGCCUCCAUUCAGUGGAUAUAUUACCAUGGCCUCCAUUCAGUGGAUAUAUUACCAUGGCCCCCAUUCAGUGGAUAUAUUACCAUGGCCCUAGCCAUGGGCCUCCAUUGAGUGGAUAUAUUACCAUGGCCUCCAUUCAGUGGAUAUAUUACCAUGGCCUCCAUUCAGUGGACAUAUUACCAUGGCCUCCAUUCAGUGGAUAUAUUACCAUGGCCCCCAUUCAGUGGAUAUAUUACCAUGGCCCCCAUUCAGUGGACAUAUUACCAUGGCCCCCAUUCAGUGGAUAUAUUACCAUGGCCUCCAUUCAGUGGAUAUAUUACCAUGGCCUCCAUUCAGUGGAUAUAUUACCAUGGCAUCCAUUCAGUGGAUAUAUUACCAUGGCCCUAGCCAUGGGCCUCUAUUCAGUGGAUAUAUUACCAUGGCCUCCAUUCAGUGGAUAUAUUACCAUGGCCCUAGCCGUGGGCUUAAGUGGAUAUAUUAUUUGUUAUUUUUGUGCCACAUACAGGAAAUAAUGUGAACAAGUGUACUUAAUGACACCCUGUCCAAUAAUAUAAUUAGAUUUUCAACUCUAAGUAGUUGUCUGACUGUAGGAAAAGUGAUUUAUUAAGAUAGUGCUGUAUGCCUCAACAUCUUAAAACAUUGAAAAGUGAGAAAUUGGUUUUGAAUUGUUUUAUGUGAUUAUGGAUUUUUGGGGGGAGGGAUAAUUAAUUAAAAAUAUGUAACUCGUUUUAUACGAAUAUUGUUGUUUUUUUUGUUUGUAAUAUGAUCCUAGGAACCCAUAUUGAAUAUAACAUAUGCCUGCACUGUCUUUCAAAUGUCCCUUUUCAGACCUCAAUUAUUCACAGAAACAAUGGUGCAGGUUAAAUUAUUAUACCUUAUCCUAAAUGACUAAUGGUGCAGGUUAAAUUAAAAUAUACCUUAUCCUCAAUGUCUAAUGGUGCAGGUUAAAAUUUAACCGUACCUGACAGAUUGUCUCGAUUCGGCCUUAUGUAGCAA
ensembl:lncRNA